GUGGGGAAUAUUCCGCAAUGGACGAAAGUCUGACGGAGCAACGCCGCGUGAGUGAUGAAGGUUUUCGGACUGUAAAGCUCUGUUGUUUGGGACGAAAGUGCCUGUUGCGAACAGUUACGGGUAUUGACGGUACUAAACGAGGAAGCCACGGCUAACUACGUGCCAGCAGCCGCGGUAAUACGUAGGUGGCAAGCGUUGUCCGGAAUUAUUGGGCGUAAAGAGCAUGUAGGCGGGAAUCUAAGUCUGUUGUUAAAAUGCGGGGCUCAACCCCGUAUUGCGAUGGAAACUGGGUUUCUUGAGUGCAGGAGAGGAAAGGGGAAUUCCCAGUGUAGCGGUGAAAUGCGUAGAUAUUGGGAGGAACACCAGUGGCGAAGGCGCCUUUCUGGACUGUGUCUGACGCUGAGAUGCGAAAGCCAGGGUAGCGAACGGGAUUAGAUACCCCUGUAGUCC
rnacentral:rRNA from 1 species